rnacentral:lncRNA from 1 species
CACUGAUGUUGAUGAUAAAUACUGCUGUCAUCUCAACCAGAUCACAUUCACUGCUUCAUCAUGGACUUCGAUCUGUGCUCAGCUGUUGGAGAUGAUGAGGUGAAGAAGCAGGAGGGCAACGAGGUGGAGGGCAUCUUUGGGUUUGGAAAAAAAGAUAAAGACAAAGAAGAAAAAGAUAAAGAGUGUAAGGACAAAGACAAAGGUAGUGACAAGCCAAAGAGUGAUUGCAAAGAAGAGGAUAAAGACAAGGACAAGUGCAAAGACAAAGAGAAGGACAAGUGCAAAGACAAAGAGAAGGACAAGUGCAAAGACAAGGAAAAGAAGAAGGAUAAAGAGCACAAAAAGGGGCACGGUCAUGGACACGGACAUGGUCAUGGUCGGGGACGUGGACGCGGACACGGACACAGGUCAUCCUCUUCAUCCAGUGAUGAGGACUAAAGCUGAAGACAUAAGAGGGCCGGGGCAAGUUGUCACACAGGGAAAAUGUCCUAAGGGAUUUAUUUUUAUAGCAACUGUGAGGUUUUGAGUCAAAAAAUCCAAUUGCACAAAUGCUUGUUUUCUAGCAGUGGUUUUAUAUGUUGUUUCAAACACCUAGUUGCAACAUUUGUAUUAAAUUAGGAUAAUAUUUUUGGAAUUGUGUCCUACAAACUAAAAUUUCAGUACUAUUAUCUUUUUAUAAAUUGGUCUGAGCUGUUACAUGAGUUUUGUGAUGUACUGCAUAUAAAGUAUCUAUGAAAAUCUCCUGUUAUUUUUUGUAACAUUUAAAUUUUUUUGCUGUUUGUUUUACUGUUAAAGACAUUAUAUAGCCUCUAAUACAUAAUAAUAAUGUUAAUAAUGUUUGUUUUCUCAAAACAAUUCCCAUUCUUAUGAUUUAUCCCAUAUAUAGUGACAACAUGGCCCACUAAACAUAAGUCAACAUAAUGAACUGUAGCCUAUAUUUAUACUGGAUAAUAAUGAUAGAUAUGUCCAAUAGUUGUUUCAGGGUGGUGACUAUUGAAAAAGUGACAUAAGUGACUUUUCAAAAUAAACUUAAUGUGAGAAAUUAAUUGGUAUAAAAAGUUGUCCUAGACUCCUUUAUUUACAC